rnacentral:rRNA from 1 species
GCUACACAUGCAGUCGACGGUGAGGUGGAGCUUGCUCUGCUGGAUCAGUGGCGAACGGGUGAGUAACACGUGAGCAAUCUGCCCCUGACUCUGGGAUAAGCGCUGGAAACGGCGUCUAAUACCGGAUAUGAACUGCGAAGGCAUCUUCAGUAGUUGGAAAGAAUUUCGGUCAGGGAUGAGCUCGCGGCCUAUCAGCUUGUUGGUGAGGUAAUGGCUCACCAAGGCGUCGACGGGUAGCCGGCCUGAGAGGGUGACCGGCCACACUGGGACUGAGACACGGCCCAGACUCCUACGGGAGGCAGCAGUGGGGAAUAUUGCACAAUGGGCGCAAGCCUGAUGCAGCAACGCCGCGUGAGGGAUGACGGCCUUCGGGUUGUAAACCUCUUUUAGCAGGGAAGAAGCGAAAGUGACGGUACCUGCAGAAAAAGCGCCGGCUAACUACGUGCCAGCAGCCGCGGUAAUACGUAGGGCGCAAGCGUUAUCCGGAAUUAUUGGGCGUAAAGAGCUCGUAGGCGGUUGUCGCGUCUGCUGUGAAAACUGGAGGCUCAACCUCAGCCUGCAGUGGUACGGGCAGACUAGAGUGCGUAGGGAGAUGAUUCUG